CACUUCAUGCCUGGAAAUGAUGUAAGACGCAGCCACUCCUCUCUUAGAACUACAACCAAACAAUGCUCUGGCAAUCGACGCAGCUGCUCUCCAAAUGUCAGCGCCAACCCUGUCAAAAGAGUUUGAAAGCCACCAAGCUGAAGGACUUUGUGCUGUACCUUUCUCAUCCACAUUUUCCCCAAGCACUCUCAGGAACCUGGCAACAGGCAGCUGCUUCUUCCUUACCACCCCCACCCCUCAAACUCCCUCCCACCCCAAAAAAUGUCUGAGAAAACAAAUGUGACUCUGCGGGCAGCCCUGUUCUCCAGUGCCUCCUGGUGGCCACCUCGGAACAUACCGAUGAGCCUUGAAAUCUGCGGUUGUCUCUAAGACACAUCAAAUUUCAAAUAUUGCCUCGAAUUCACAAUAACCAAGACAUGGAAACAACCUAAUGCACAUCGAUGGAUGAUUGGAUAAAGAAGUUGUGGUCUGUAUAAUCAAUGGAAUAAUACUCAACUAUUAAAAAAAUGAAAGUUUUUUUUUUGUGGCAAUAUGGAUGGAAUUUGAGCAGCUACGAAGCCAUAUAUACCUGGGGUCCUGUGCAGAAGGCCUUCUAAACUCUGAAGCCACAGUUCUACAUGAAGGUGUAAAAUGAUGCCUGUCAGUAGCCAUUGCAACCAAAUAUCACAAUUAUUCAGUCUUGUGUCAGAAAGGGCCAUGUGAGGACACAGGGACAAGUGCUGUUUCCAACCCAAAAGCUCCUGCAAAGCCCAACUAAAGGGAAUCACUACUCACAAUAAGUGAAGCUGGUAGUCCCAAGACCUCCUGGGUAGUGCAUUGCACUGCCAGGAAGAAGGUACAUUUGAGAUCGGCAAGUGCCUUACUCACUUAAUUUUCUCAUCGGGAGGUUUUACGGACUCCAGGCCUGUAUAUUUCCUAGGUGAACAUGCCUGCUAUGUUGGGCUAAGGUACCAAAUACUCCAGAGAAGGACUUGGUAAAAGAAUGGGGGGCAAAGGUUCCUGAAAAUUCUCAAUGUCCAACUACAAAUAAGGCUGCUGGAGGACAAGAGGCUCUCCAAGGAACACUGAACCUGAGCCAGUCACAUCAGGGAAUAGAAACAUCUCUUUGUUCACUCUCUUAAAUGCUGCCCUCUAGGGUCAGUGUUAAGGCCACUUAUGGAGGGUUGAGAGACUCAUGGCAUAAAAUGACCAGAAUGAGGAGAAACACAGAUGGAAUGGUGAUAGCUGGCAAUUAGAACAUGGCAUCAAACACCACUGCCACAGAAGCUUACUAGCUACAAAGCCGCGCUAUGCAACCUUUAAGCAAAAACAUUGUUGAUUUUGUGGUUGUAAAAAACGUACCUUCAACUGCAGAACUCAGUUUUAUGACACCUUGAAUAAAAACAAAAAGUGGCAGUUAUAUAAUGGACCCAAAUUACUUUUUCCAGUCUUCUCAUAACAUAUACACGCUUCAGAUCUGGAUUUUUUUUUUGCUGGCAUCUUGAGAAUUUAACCAAAAAAUAUCAACUUCAAAAACGAAACAUUGUCAGUCCUAUGAUUAGACUUUUCUAAUUUUCAGGUCUCAAAAUCUAAUUUUCAGGUCUCCAAGGUGUCUUCAUUUCCCCACUAGAAUCAUUUGGGAGAGUUUUUCACUGAAUGUGUUUUGGGAUGAAACAAAGGCCACGUCUGAGUGGCUAUAUAAAUUAUUGUGCUGGAUUAUGGAUUGACAAAACCCAACCUGGCAGGACACCAGUCUCUACUACUUCCUAUUUCAUACCAUGUAUAGAGAUUAUUUGAUAUUUGUUAGGAGAGGGUUUCUGAUGAAAUAUAUAACAGGUGGUUAAAAUUUCAUACCAUGUAUAGGAGUUAUUUUGUAUUUGUUGGGAGAGGGUUUCUGAUGAAAUAUGUAACAGGUGGAUAAAAAUCAUGGUGUAAGCUGGGGUCUUCUUCUCUAGGGUGUUUGGGUCAGGGGACAUUUUCUGAUCUGAUGUGUCACUGCUUUGACCUCUGCUGGUCGGAGAGUGAAAGGACAACCUAAGGAUGUCAGAUUUGUUCAUGGAGGAACCAGAUAUUACCCCAGACUGACUAUUCAUGCACCUUUUCAGUUAAUUUAAAGGUGAAAAUAUUAACCUAAGAUGAUUAGACAUGAUGUCAUAAUUUGAUUUAAAAAAGUAUUUUUGGGUAAAUGCUCAUAAUAAUUAAAUCAUAUCCCCCAAAGUCUAUGUGUGAGCCGUGAUACUUUAUCCUGAGCAAAAAUGUCUACAGUUUCAUUUGAUUGAAAUUCUGUUUUUCUUUCAAACUGGAGGAGUUUCAGAUUUAAAGUGGAAACAAAACCCUUUUCAGUGCUGACAAACCAAAUUGAAUUCAGCAUGAAUAUAUACUGAUUUAAACAGAUUUUGUUCACUAGGAGACAAACUUGCUCUCCAUUGUAACUUCCUGAGAAAGCUGCUGUUAAGGUUAACUAUUGAAUUUCAUCUUUCCCACAGAAGCAGUAUUGUCUGGUCAAUGUUAACAAGGGACUCUGUAGGGGAAAAAAUAUGCAUAUAUAGUAUAUGUAUUUAUUAUACAUUUUACUG